rnacentral:lncRNA from 1 species
CUUGAUCAGGUAUGAAAUGAUUUUAAACAUUUAAACGAUAAAAAUAAUCAAAAAAAUAAUUACAAAAUAUGAAAUAGGGGGCUCGGAUUCAUCUUUUGUCAAUCACAAGAACAAACCAUAGGUCUUCCCUCUUUAUGCCCAAAUCCCAUCCUAAGAGAUAGACAUGGCUGCAGUGGUUGCCAUGAAGGCCAUCCAAACUGUCUCGCCAUCAUCCUAUUAAGAUUGGAAAACCAAGCAUUGAAAGAGAUCGUAAAGCCUUUAUGAUUCAUACUUAUGCAUAAGAAUAUGUUAUUUGCCAACACCAUGGAGAAACAAUCUUAUGUUGUAAAGCCCAAAUGGUGAUUGGUCAAAUGCAUAAUUGACUUUUAUUUAUCAUCAUAGCCUCUUCAUAAUUCAAAAGCAAUAUACUGAGAAGCAAAGAUGAAAUCAAUACAGUGAAAUUUAUAAAAAGAAAAUGUAAAUAAUGAAAGCUAUGAAAGGAUAAAAAGAAAAAGGUUGGAAGAAAAGAAACAAUCCUCUUGAAUGUAUUAUUUCCCCACACCAAAACAAGCUCCAUAUCCCCAAAAUACCUCAGUUAAAUAAGAACCCCAAAUGAGAAUAAAAAACUAGAGAACUAAUUGUUGUUUGCAGCAGACAGUGAUCAUUUAUGAUCAUUUUACAUCAUCAAGCUUAACCAAUGCAGGGGUAACAAUGCCAUCAACACAAUCGCAAUCCCUACUACCUGAACAAGCAUUUGCACAAACGGCACAAAGAAUCAUUUGCUAUACAGGGCAUAGGAUUUAGGCUCUAAAUAACAAACAAGUACAAACAGUAGCAAAACAACAAAGAUAGCUUGUUGUAGCCAAACUCAAGACUCUCUUUAACUGGACCAAUUAUCACAUCGCCAUUUUUUUUACCUCAAUUGAUUUUUAACAGCCGGAUAAUAAUUCUUAAAAGUAAUAAAACUAACAUAAUGUUGAAGAUAACAUGUAAAUUUCUCAUAUAAUCUUAAAGUGACCCGAAUCUCAGAUGAAAAAAAAAAACCUUGAAACAAAAUUAUGAAAGCCCACCGAACUUGUAAAACUUUAAAAAUGUCAUUUUGUUGACAAAUAAUUUUUUCUAUAAUGUCUAUAUCAAAACAAUUCUCAGAAAAAUUAACACCACUUAAGCAAAUAUACUAUGAGUACAUUUAAAAUAAUUAAACCAAGAAAAAAAAGAAAUGGAGAAAACAUGUAUAGUUUAACCCUUGAUCAGGCAUGAAAUGAUUUUAAACAUUUAAAUAGUAAAAAUAAUCAAAAGAACCAUUACAAAAUAAGAAAUAGGAGGCUCAGAUUCAUCUUUUGUCAAUCAUAAGAACAGACCAUAGGUCUUCCCUCUUCUUGCCCAAAUCUCAUCCUAAGAGAUAGACAUGGCUGCAGUGGUUGCCAUGAAGGCCAUCCAUACUGCCUCGCCAUCAUCCUAUUAAGAUUGAAAAAUCGAGCAUUGAAAGAGAUUACAAAGCCUUAAUGCUUCAUAAUAUGCAUAAGAAUCUGUGACUUGCCAACACCAUGGAGAAACAAUCUUGUGUUUAAAAGCUCAAAUGGUGAUUAGUCAAAUCCAUCAUUGACUUUUAUUUAUCAUCAUAGCCUCUUCAUAAUUCAAAAGCAAGAUACUGAGAAGCAAAGAUGAAAUCAAUACAGUGAAAUUUACAAAAAGAAAACAUAAAUAAUCAAAGCCAUGAAAGGAUAAAAAGAAAAAG